rnacentral:rRNA from 1 species
CAGCCGCCGCGGUAAUACGUAGGUGGCAAGCGUUGUCCGGAAUUAUUGGGCGUAAAGGGCUCACAGGCGGUUUCUUAAGUCUGAUGUGAAAGCCCCCGGCUCAACCGGGGAGGGUCAUUGGAAACUGGGAAACUUGAGUGCAGAAGAGGAGAGUGGAAUUCCACGUGUAGCGGUGAAAUGCGUAGAGAUGUGGAGGAACACCAGUGGCGAAGGCGACUCUCUGGUCUGUAACUGACGCUGAGGAGCGAAAGCGUGGGGAGCGAACAGGAUUAGACCCCAGUAGUCCCUGUCUCUUAUACAC